ensembl:snRNA U6 U6 spliceosomal RNA
GUGUUCGUUUUGGCAGCACAUAUACUAAAAUUGGAACAAUACAGAGAAGAUUAGCAUGGCUCCUGCGCAAGGAUGACACGUAAAUUCAUGAAGCGUUCCAUAUUUUU